rnacentral:rRNA from 1 species
AUACGGAGGGGGCUAGCGUUGUUCGGAAUUACUGGGCGGAAAGCGCACGUAGGCGGAUUAAAAAGUUAGAGGUGAAAUCCCAGGGCUUAACCCUGGAACUGCCUUUAAAACUAGUAGUCUAGAGUUCGAGAGAGGUGAGUGGAAUUCCAAGUGUAGAGGUGAAAUUCGUAGAUAUUUGGAGGAACACCAGUGGCGAAGGCGGCUCACUGGCUCGAUACUGACGCUGAGGUGCGAAAGCGUGGGGAGCAAACAGGAUUAGAAACCCUAGUAGUCC